rnacentral:rRNA from 1 species
UACGUAGGGCGCAAGCGUUAUCCGGAAUUAUUGGGCGUAAAGAGCUCGUAGGCGGUUUGUCGCGUCUGCUGUGAAAACCUAAGGCUCAACCUUGGGCUUGCAGUGGGUACGGGCAGACUAGAGUGCGGUAGGGGUGACUGGAAUUCCUGGUGUAGCGGUGGAAUGCGCAGAUAUCAGGAGGAACACCGAUGGCGAAGGCAGGUCACUGGGCCGCAACUGACGCUGAGGAGCGAAAGCAUGGGGAGCGAACAGG